CUCGUUAGAUCACCGAAGUCAAGCAUCAUUGGGCGCGGUCAGUACUUGGGUGGGUGACCACCUGGGAACACUGCGUGCCGUU